UUCCUCUCUGUUUCUAAGCUUCAGGAGCCUUCAGAGCCUGUCUCCAGCGAAGUCUUCAGGAAAGAAAAGGAUCAGAGAAAAUGCUCCCGCUGUCCCCUCGCCCCUCCUCCGUGACACUGUGUGCAGAUUAGGUGUUGAUUCAAUAAGAUGCUUCACCUUCUAAAAGUGAUAGUGUGAGUCACGUGUGGAAGCAGAGGGGACAUAAUGGAACGAUCACUGCACGGCAUCCCUGCCUCGUUUAAUUUGUUUUGAGGCUGCUAGCCGUGUCAGGCUAACUGCAGUCGAGGCCAAUCAACAGCCUGACCCUGUUGGUGGAGAAAGUUGAAAGAUAGUGGCAUUGUGUCAGAAGCUGCUGGGAUGAAGUCAACAUCCGUUCCUGUCUCCCCUUGGGAGAGCCAUGUUCCAGGGUGAGCCUCCUUUGCAAAAAAAGACUUGUUGGGACUGGAGGUCUGAGAGCUGGGGCUGGCCUUGGGGAAGAGGAUCACUGCAAGUCACUUUACACUGUGCAGGGGACUGGCUAUCCUUUGGUUGUUUGAUGGGCAGGCUUUGCUCAGAUGGGGAUGGUGAGAUGUCAUCUUCCUGCAAAUGCCAUCUGUGUUCCUUCAGGCCUAGAGCAGGCCAUGGAUGGGAACCCCCUGCUUAGAUCAGUCUCCUUGGCAUUUUACAGGCAAAGAGAGUGAUGGAUUUGCC
rnacentral:lncRNA from 1 species